rnacentral:misc_RNA from 1 species
GCAAACUUGGUCAUUUAGAGGAAGUAAAAGUCGUAACAAGGUUUCCGUAGGUGAACCUGCGGAAGGAUCAUUAACGAGUUAGGGUCUCCGUGGCCCGACCUCCCAACCCUUUGUGUAUUGAACCUGUGUUGCUUCGGCGGGCCCGUCGUGAGAACGACCGCCGGAGGAUCGUCGAGAGGCGUCCUCUGGUCCGCGCCCGCCGGUGGCCUACACCUAUAAACUCUGAAUGAAUCAUGUCCUACGUCUAAGUUUUUUUGAUAAAUUAAAGCAAAACUUUCAACAACGGAUCUCUUGGUUCUGGCAUCGAUGAAGAACGCAGC